rnacentral:lncRNA from 1 species
UCAAGGUUUGUAAACACACCAAUCAGCACCCUGUGUCUAGCUCAGGGUUUGUGAAUGCACCAAUCCACACUCUAUAUCUAGCUAAUCUAGUGGGGACGUGGGGAAAGAACUUUUGUGUGUAGCUCAGGGAUUGUAAACGCACCUAUCAGCACCCUGUCAAAACGGAGCAAUCGGCUCUCUGUAAAACAGACCAAUCGGCUCUCUGUAAAAUGGACCAGUCAGCAGGAUGUGGGUGGGGUCAGAU